rnacentral:lncRNA from 1 species
GAACACCGUCCUACAGCCCCCCGGAAUGGACGCACCUCGGCUGGUACCACGGCGAGGCAGCGACUGUCUGGUCCCUGGGCAUCGUGCUGCACCAGAUGGUCUGCGGGGAGCACCCUUUCAGGAGGGGCUGGAACAGCACCUGGGGCCGGCUCUCGCUCCCACGACGGCUCUCUCCAGGUGGAUCCUCGUCUCUGCAGCACGGGGGGAAUAGCAGUGCUGGGAGACAGCAGCGGGCUCAGGAGCAUGCCACACUGGCAGCUGCUGAGGAGGUGGCAAUGUCCUGCUCCCCUCCAAAAGAAAGAAUUGAUGGCAAAGUUUAGGCACAGCCCUGAGCACACGCAGCACGGCCUGGCCAUGGCAAGAGUGGGGCAAAGCGGACAGGAGCCUUCUGCAACUGACUGGUGCUUUCUGCUUUCUCUGCGCAGAGUGCCAGGAUCUCAUCCGACGGUGUUUAUCCGUGCUCUCCUCGGAAAGGCCCUCAUUAGAAGACCUGUCCUGUGAUCCUUGGAUGCAGGAUAUUCCCGUGCCGUAGGAGAAGGGAGAGAGCCACACGCACGCUUUGAGCCAGGGAGCCGCAACAGCCGGGGCCCUGGGCAGAGCACUGACAGCCUGCUCCAGCCCCAGGGAAGAAGGAGCCCCUGGAGAAGCUGUGCCAGGUGCGGCUGCUGCUGCUGGAGACAUGGAGGGUGACAUCAACGAUGACAAGCUCUUCCUCCACCUGGCAAGCUGAAGAUGAUGGACUUCAAUUGUGGCACCUUCUCCAAAGCCAGGCUCCACGGCGAAUUUGCAGAUGAGUCCACACGCAGGGGGCUGCUCCCAGAUUUGUGCAUUGCACAGCCUGGCCGGGAAGCAAAGGUUCCCCCCUUUGCUGGGGCGGAUGCAACCAAUUCUUCAGUCGGCUGCCAAGCUGCUUUUUGGCAGGGCUGGGGGGAUAGGCUGGGCUGGUUUUGAACUGGGAGUCUGCUCCUGGCCCUGCCAACAGCCCCCAGCACCCACCGUGCCCCACAUUGGGGCUGGGGCAGCCGGCGCGACACAAAGCAAGCCCCAUGGUGGGAGCAGAGGUUGGACACCAGAAGCUGUGCAUGGGCUGCUUUGCUCUGCAGGAAGCGUUCUAGGUGCUGUCGGGUCCGGAUGGCGAAGUGCUUGGGAGCAGCUGCGGCGUGGGUGGGACGUGCCCUUGGAGAAGGCUGAGGACAGCGUUUGGGAGCAGCUUUUCUUCUGGCGGCGGGAGGCGUGCGGUGGGUGCCCGUCCUCUUGGCACGGCUGGGAUAAGGGCUUUUGGGAGACGGCAGCGAGCGCAGCAGCAUCCCGCUCUGGGCAGCUGCUGAGGAGGUGGCUGUGCCACGGCCGGCUGCAGGCUGGGCACGUGUCCUGCCCUCCUGCUCUGCUGCCAGAGGCAGCAAUGCUGGGCAGCUUUGGGCAGCGCUCUGAGCACGGCCAGCACGGCCUGGGCACCGCGGGCGGCUGGGACAAGGGGAAUGGGAGCCUUCAGCCGACGGGCGCUUUCUGCUUUGUCUCCUUGCAGCCGGGCUCUGUGGAUGCUGAGGCUGCUCUGGGCUCUGCCAGGGCUCUGCUGUGGCUCAGCCCCGGGGCCACGAGAAGCCAAAGAAGAAACGCCGUGACCUGCAGCAGAGACGUGCUUGAGCAGCUCGGCAGUGCAGCUCACGUUUGCAGAGCGUGCACCUCCAGGGGAAAAUAUGACACCCCCCCAAUAACAAACUUGUUCAGUAACUUCUGA